ACUUGAGCUGGGCCUUGGAAGAGAGACAAGAGACCUGGGCUCUGGGGAGAGGGAGAAGAAAGUAGAACCGGCUGCACAGGAGAUGAGGAAGCUGAGGCUCAAAGAGUUUAAAUGACUGACCCAAAGUCCCAAAGUGAGGCUUCCAGGACCAGAAUCCUGUUACGGUGGCCGCCAGGCCAGGCUGACUCUCUGCUCUACCCACAUCUGCUGAGACUUCGCUUUGAACUCAAGUCUCCGUGUGGCUCCAUGCUCCACACGUCUGCCAGGACUGACAUCGUGCUGCUCCUGACCUCAUGGCUAACUCGCUGGCGCGCCUGCCACGAUGCUUUUAGAGCUGCGCCCCUGAGACAGGCACCCUCAUCUUAGCUCACGACAUCUCCUCCUAUACCCAAAGCCACCGCCCUACGACCUCCCUGCUGGGAGGACCUCCUAACCGGGUGCUCUGUCCGAGGCACCUCGUGAUGUAGUGGAAAGGUGGCUGGACUUGGAGGUGAAACACCCAAGCACUGGUUCUGGUCCUUGUCUGGCUGAGUAACCCUGGACAAGUGAUUCCACCUCUUCAAACUCCAGCUUCUUUAUCUGCAAAACACAGACGAGAACACGCA
rnacentral:lncRNA from 1 species